CUGACGAGCACGCCGCGUGAGUGAAGAAGGUUUUCGGAUCGUAAAGCUCUGUUGUAAGAGAAGAACGAGUGUGAGAGUGGAAAGUUCACGCUGUGACGGUAUCUUACCAGAAAGGGACGGCUAACUACGUGCCAGCAGCCGCGGUAAUACGUAGGUCCCGAGCGUUAUCCGGAUUUAUUGGGCGUAAAGCGAGCGCAGGCGGUUAGAUAAGUCUGAAGUUAAAGGCUGUGGCUUAACCAUAGUACGCUUUGGAAACUGUUUAACUUGAGUGCAAGAGGGGAGAGUGGAAUUCCAUGUGUAGCGGUGAAAUGCGUAGAUAUAUGGAGGAACACCGGUGGCGAAAGCGGCUCUCUGGCUUGUAACUGACGCUGAGGCUCGAAAGCGUGGGGAGCAAACA
rnacentral:rRNA from 1 species